rnacentral:rRNA from 1 species
UGAGGAAUAUUGGUCAAUGCCGGGAGGCUGAACCAGCCAAGUCGCGUGAGGGAAGACGGUCCUAUGGAUUGUAAACCNCUUUUGUCAGGGAGCAAAAACUGCCACGCGUGGCAGGAUGAGAGUACCUGAAGAAAAAGCAUCGGCUAACUCCGUGCC